rnacentral:rRNA from 1 species
AGUGAACGCUGGCGGCAGGCCUAACACAUGCAAGUCGAGCGGCAGCGGGUCCCCGCGAGGGGAUGCCGGCGAGCGGCGGACGGGUGAGGAACACAUCGGAAUCUGCCUGGUUGUGGGGGAUAACGUAGGGAAACUUACGCUAAUACCGCAUGCGACCCUGAGUCGACGGACUUGGGGUGAAAGUGAGGGACCUUCGGGCCUCACGCGACCAGAUGAGCCGAUGUCGGAUAGCUAGUUGGCGGGGUAACGGCCCGCCAAGGCGACGAUCCGUAGCUGGUCUGAGAGGAUGAUCAGCCACACUGGGACUGAGACACGGCCCAGACUCCUACGGGAGGCAGCAGUGGGGAAUCUUGGACAAUGGGCGCAAGCCUGAUCCAGCCAUGCCGC